UGUGGUCCGGAGUUGGAGGGUUAUCCAUUCAGUCCCUUCGGGGAAUUUCCCUUCGACACAAACUCGACCACC
rfam:Haemonchus placei strain MHpl1 genome assembly, scaffold: HPLM_scaffold0007323